AGGUUGACCUCGGAUCAGGUAGGAAUACCCGCUGAACUUAAGCAUAUCAAUAAGCGGAGGAAAAGAAACCAACAGGGAUUACCCUAGUAACGGCGAGUGAAGCGGUAACAGCUCAAAUUUGAAAUCUGACCUUCACGGGUCCGAGUUGUAAUUUGUAGAGGAUGUUUCGGAUAAGGCUUUGGUUUAAGUUUCUUGGAACAGAACGUCAUAGAGGGUGAGAGUCCCGUCUAGAACCGAUAGCCCCGUUCAUGUGAAACUCCUUCGACGAGUCGAGUUGUUUGGGAAUGCAGCUCAAAAUGGGUGGUAAAUUUCAUCUAAAGCUAAAUAUUGGCCAGAGACCGAUAGCGCACAAGUAGAGUGAUCGAAAGAUGAAAAGCACUUUGAAAAGAGAGUUAAACAGUAUGUGAAAUUGUUGAAAGGGAAGCGCUUGCAACCAGACUUGUGUUUAACGGUUCCCCUGUGUCUUUUGACCAGGCUAUUCCGUUAUAUCCAGGCCAGCAUCGGUUCGGGUGGUUGGUUAAAGGCCUUGGGAAUGUAUCUACCUUCGGGUCGACUUAUAGCUCGGGGUGUAAUGCGGCCUACCUAGACCGAGGAACGCGCUUUGCUCGAUGC
rnacentral:rRNA from 1 species